rnacentral:rRNA from 1 species
AGAGUUUGAUCAUGGCUCAGGAUGAACGCUAGCUACAGGCUUAACACAUGCAAAUCGAGGGGAAACGACAUCGAAAGCUUGCUUUUGAUGGGCGUCGACCGGCGCACGGAUGAGUAACGCGUAUCCAACCUGCCCACCACUUGGGGAUAACCUUGCGAAAGUAAGACUAAUACCCAAUGACGUCUCUAGAAGACAUCUGAAGGAGAUUAAAGAUUUAUCGGUGAUGGAUGGGGAUGCGUCUGAUUAGCGUUGUUGGCGGGGUAACGGCCACCAAGGCGACGAUCAGUAGGGGUUCUGAGAGGAAGGUCCCCCANAUUGGAACUGAGACACGGUCCAAACUCCUACGGGAGGCA